rnacentral:rRNA from 1 species
GGGUCAGUAGGUUGGUCGUGCCACCGGUACGUACUGGUCUCACUGAUUCCCCCUUCCUGAAGAACCGUAAUGCCAUUAAUUUGGUGUUGCGGGGAAACAGGACUGUUAUUUUGAAAAAAUUAGAGUGUUUAAAGCAAGCUAACGCUUGAAUACAUUAGCAUGGAAUAAUGAAAUAGGACGAUCGAUCCUAUUUUGUUGGUUUCUAGGAUUGACGUA